AUGCUUUACACAUGCAAGUCGAACGGCAGCAUGGAGAGCUAGCUCUCUGAUGGCGAGUGGCGAACGGGUGAGUAAUAUAUCGGAACGUGCCUAGUAAUGGGGAAUAACUAGCUGAAAGGUUAGCUAAUGCCGCAUACGACCUACGGGUGAAAGCAGGGGAUCUUCGGACCUUGCGUUAUUAGAGCGGCCGAUAUCUGAUUAGCUUGUUGGUGGGGUAAUGGCCUACCAAGGCGACGAUCAGUAGCUGGUCUGAGAGGACGAUCAGCCACACUGGAACUGAGACACGGUCCAGACUCCUACGGGAGGCAGCAGUGGGGAAUUUUGGACAAUGGGGGAAACCCUGAUCCAGCCAUUCCGCGUGAGUGAAGAAGGCCUUCGGGUUGUAAAGCUCUUUCGCAAGAGAAGAAAACUUGCUAUCUAAUAAAUAGUAAGCAUGACGGUAUCUUGACAAGAAGCACCGG
rnacentral:rRNA from 1 species